UUGCUGUUAGCUCCACGGCUAUUGCAAGACCAGCAGCUUUGGUUGAUUUAGACUUGAGAGAACAAUGGCGAAAGGUCUGAUAUGGGCGACAGCAGAUGAUUUGGCUCGAAAUAAGGGACAUGUUCUGUCUCUGUAUCGUCAAAUUUUAAGGAGCCUCAACUCGCCCGAGCUACCACUUACUUGGGCUGCACGACUGUCAAAGAAGGCGGAGGCUCGGUCCAUCUUCUUAGUGGCUUCUGAAGAGCGAUCGGUCCACAAUAUUGCUGACCUCAUUGAUGUAGCUGAGCACACUCUUUCUCUCCUAAGAAAAGGCCAAAUUCCUAAACUUCCCUUAAUAUGAACAUUAUUUAGACUUGCAGACACAUAAGGCCGAUUUAUAGUACAGCUUCAAUCGAAGAAAAUAAGCUUGCCGGUUGCUCGUGUCCGUGUUUGUGUUCGUGUUGGUGUUGGAUUUCAAGUCAAAACUCGAAAAUCAUGAGAUGAGCUGUAUGAAAUGAAGUAUUCAAAUUUGCUGGAGCAAUUGAAUUGGAGUCUUCCACAGCAAGUGAAAAAAUUCUUCUCGAACUAUAGAAAUUAUUACAAAUUUCCUCUCAUGGUUGCAUUUCGUAGUUAUAUGUUUAGAGAGAAAUUUUUUCAAAAAACAAAAUAAUUUAUGAGACAAAAAAAGUGUCUUAAUUUAGGGGACAAAAAUUAUAUUUAUUUAAACAUUUUUUAACAUUAUGAAACCAAUUGAAGUGAUUGUCAUGUGAUUUGUACAUGUUUUUACUUUGCUAGUAAUAUAUGUCUCUUAUGAUUGAUUAUUCCUAUA